AGGAGGAGGGGAAGCCGCCGAGGAGGAGCCGCCCCCGCUCUGGUGAUGGGGGCUGGGGAUCUCCGGGCUCUGCAGGCUGCUGAAGCCAGAGCCGAGCCCGCCGGGCAGGAGGUUCCCGGGGCUGCCCAGUACCUCACCUAUUUGCAACACAGGAACUCCCAAAAUUUGCCUUUCCAGACCUUAGGAUCUUGGACUGAGAAUCUUGGACUCCAUGUUCCCUGGUGGUUACUGAAGCAAGACUGACUGAAGAGGGGAGCAUGCUGGCAGAGCCAUGCCUCACCUGAGUGACUUGAAGAAGCAAGAGUGUCAUGGAGCUGGGAUGAGUUCCUUAGACUAGACAACAAACAUUACAAAUGCCAAGCCAUAUGCAAUAUCACUAUAUAUAAUAUGUAAAUUGAAAAAAACAGAUGUUGCAAAGCAAGCUGUCAGUAGAGUAGAACCAAAUAUACAUAAGUUAUUGUUUUUGCAGCCAUUAAUCAACCUGCUUCUGUAUAUUCAUUCCAACAAAUGUGCCAGACGUUGACUUCACCUGGGAGGCCUGUGGUAGAGCUGGGGCUGACAGCUCUCCUGGAUUUGUUGGUGCCUGAAAGACAGCGAUCAUAUUGUUCUACAUCAUGUAGUGGGUGUUAAAUUUUGUGUGGUGAGUUUAACCAGCAAUGUUAUAGAAUGGAAAGUAUGAGGACAAAUCACAUUAACGUAUGUAAAAUAACUGUAACUGCAUAAAGACAAAAUAAAAUGUAAGGGUUACAGAGCA